AGGGGAAGUUCAACUAGCAAGAACUGCUAAUUCCUGCAUCUGGGCCUAAAACCUCAGUCCCCUCAA
rnacentral:tRNA from 1 species